rnacentral:rRNA from 1 species
AACGAACGCUGGCGGCAUGCCUAACACAUGCAAGUCGAACGAGACCUUCGGGUCUAGUGGCGCACGGGUGCGUAACGCGUGGGAACCUGCCCUUAGGUUCGGAAUAACUCCCCGAAAGGGGUGCUAAUACCGGAUAAUGUCUUCGGACCAAAGAUUUAUCGCCUUUGGAUGGGCCCGCGUUGGAUUAGCUAGUUGGUAGGGUAAAAGCCUACCAAGGCGACGAUCCAUAGCUGGUCUGAGAGGAUGAUCAGCCACACUGGGGCUGAGACACGGCCCAGACUCCUACGGGAGGCAGCAGUGGGGAAUAUUGGACAAUGGGCGAAAGCCUGAUCCAGCAAUGCCGCGUGAGUGAUGAAGGCCUUAGGGUUGUAAAGCUCUUUUACCCGGGAUGAUAAUGACAGUACCGGGAGAAUAAGCACCGGCUAACUCCGUG